UUAGGCCUUUGCUCCUUGCACUGUUGUGUUGCUGUAGUUGUAAAACACAACCUGCUGAACACUAACAGAAUCAGCUGCAGAGUGCAGACUUGGCCCUACAUGUGAUUCAGAAAGGAGCUGGAGCUAAUGGAAUCCACUACUACAUCUUGCAGCUGAAGCAGCACCUUCUCCAAAGAUGCCAAACAAAAGGCAUGUGGCCAGGGAACAAGAGAUGCUCACUUUGGGCGGAUGAAAGCUUCACUCUCAAGUAGAAGGAUAAAGAUUUCACUCCUUGUGCAGUUAAGUUUACACACUAUAGAACCUGAAUGUAUUACCUAAAAACCAAGCAUAAAAUAAAUCUAGAACUAAAAGCACAAUUUGAUGGACCAGGAUAGAAAUUUUGGAUCUAAAACCAGCCUCAUUUUACACCGAUACAGAAUUUCUUUCUCUGACUGUGAACACAAAGAUGAUACCAAUUAAUACCAGACUAACACAGGAAUGACUACAAAAUUACAUAUAUUGGAUUUAUUGAACAGUAACUCUUUACCCAGUUUUGGAAUUUCACAAUACUUAAUCAAAUUGUGUGGACUGCUAGCAUGCAUGCUGCUAGUUCUUAUUUAGUGACAUUUUAUAAUUAUUCAUGGUAAUGAAAAAAAGUAAACUCUGCAAACAUUCAGACCAUGCAAGAACUCAUAUCUUAACACAGCUGAAGAGAUAGCAACUUCUCUAAAUGAAACAUCAUAUAUUUAAAAUGUUUCACUUUAUUAACAAUAAAUUAAUCUGUGGCAUCACUGAUCAACAAAACACUAAAAGAUAAAGUGUACAUAUUGUCUACAUACUGAUCAGAAAGGCAACAUCAUUGCUACCUUCAUAAAAACCAGAGCAAUGCUAAUGAGCUUAUAUACAUAUUUCAUUUUCAACCAUAUGAACAACACUGUGAGAGAAGAAAUACAAUUCCACAUUUCCCCAAUUUUUCUAUUAAAUAAGGCAAUAAUAAAAAGCAUAGCAUCACAAUAACCUACUUAAAACUCUAGAUACUGAGUCCUGACAUAAUACAGUGCUCAGAGGAAUGUGCAAAAAUAAACAUUUGGAUUUGCACUUUGAUUCUUCAUUGUGUAAAAUUAAAAAAAACCAAACAAAACACAACCACAAAA